GUUUUAUGAUGAAACUCAUGCGUGUCAACUGAUCCCAGAAACCCUUGGGGCUCCCGGUGGCCGGUUGGCGUUCUGUCAGCCGGUUGUUAGUGGCCUCAAGGCUCUGGGGGCAUGAUCUGACUGUACAGCUGAAAAC